UACGUAGGGACCAAGCGUUGUUCGGAUUUACUGGGCGUAAAGGGCGCGUAGGCGGCAAUUUAAGUCAGCUGUGAAAUCUCCGGGCUUAACUCGGAACGGUCAGCUGAUACUGCUUUGCUAGAGUGCAGAAGGGGCAAUCGGAAUUCUUGGUGUAGCGGUGAAAUGCGUAGAUAUCAAGAGGAACACCUGAGGUGAAGACGGGUUGCUGGGCUGACACUGACGCUGAGGCGCGAAAGCGUGGGGAGCAAACAGG
rnacentral:rRNA from 1 species